UACGAAGGGGGCUAGCGUUGCUCGGAAUUACUGGGCGUAAAGGGCGCGUAGGCGGACAGUUUAGUCAGAGGUGAAAGCCCAGGGCUCAACCUUGGAAUAGCCUUUGAUACUGACUGUCUUGAGUUCGGGAGAGGUGAGUGGAAUGCCGAGUGUAGAGGUGAAAUUCGUAGAUAUUCGGCGGAACACCAGUGGCGAAGGCGACUCACUGGCCCGAUACUGACGCUGAGGCGCGAAAGCGUGGGGAGCAAACAGG
rnacentral:rRNA from 2 species